ACAACAUAUUCAGACGUGGCUACGUAAGGUUAGCAAACAUGGAGUCAUGAAUUUUGUAUAAAAAGGCCAACCUGAAAAUGAACACAACUCACAAAAGCUCAAAGCAAAAGUUUCCUCAAGAGUAAUCAAGACAAUGGCCUCCUCCAGUUGCUUCAUCUUUGCUUUUUUCAUUGCUAUGUCCUUCUCAAGCAUGGAUAUUGGGCUGGCAGCUCGUCAUCUCCUGCAAACAACAACACCAAAUUUACCAGGCAUUCCCUCUUUCACUAACCCAACAUUGCCACCUUUGCCUUCAUUUCCAACACUGCCUCAGCCUCAGGCCACUGUUCCACCUCUGCCUACAAUCCCAUCUCUGCCACAACCAUCUCUUCCUACCGUUCCAAAAAUCCCACAGCUCACUCUUCCACCACUUCCUGCCACUUCACUUCCCAACAUCCCUUCCUCAUUCCCUUCUCUCUCUCCACCACCUUCACCUUCCACUCCUUGAAUCAACCUACUUUUCCACUGCACUCGUCUUUGGAGUUUGCUUCUCAUCAUUCAUCCAUGAUUAUGUUAUACGUUGUUCUCUUGUUGAUCGGGAGUUUUCAUUUUGCUUUGUUCUUUCGUCUUAUUGCAUGCAUACGAUUGCUGUUUUGUCUUCCCUCUCUUUAUACUUCAUGUACUUGAGUAUCAUCUGUUGUUAUAGGAUACAUACACGUUAUAAUAAAUAAUACUUCAUUGAUUUCUCAGCUCCCUAUUCAGUUCUUUCUAUUCAAAAUAUCUAACAUAAUAAUCUCAAUAUUCCUAGUUUAAAAUAAUGUUAAAAUAGUUAUAUCCCGAGGACUUCACUAUAAAUGAAAAAAAAAACAAGUUUCGUAUAUUGGCUCAAAAUAUAUCCAAAUAAUAAUUAAUGUCAUCUUAUUUUAUUAAAAUAUUUUAAAAUAUUCUUCCUUUAACUUAUAUUUUAUUGUAAAAUACUCUCUCUCUCAUAAAGUAUAACUUAAGAGAAUUAUUAUUUUAAAAUAAGAUCAGUAAAUUUAAAUUAUAUAUGUUGAUUAAUUAUGUUAACUAAAGUCAGAUUUUUAACUUAUAUUCGAGACUCGAAACAAGUAGUUUACACCGUUUUUAUUAUUACAAUUAAGCUUAUAUUAUUUCUUUAUAUAAAACUUUUGAAUCUUUAAUGUUUACGAAAACAAGUAGAGAUUAUAAGAUGCGUAAUUUGAGAAUUUAAAGGAUGUAUCAUUUCUUCUUAUCGUGUUAUCACACGGAAAGAUUUAUUGAAUAACUUUGAUAGCAACCUUACGAAAUCUCAAAAAAUAUCACUUAUAUAUCUUUCGUAAAUAGACAAACAUUUCUGAAAGUAAGGACAUAUAUAUUUACCAAAGCAGGACUGAAGACACGUGAUUUAAAUAAACAUAGGAAUUACAAAUAUUUUUUACGAAUAAUAUUAAUAUAUUAUGAAAAAGGACAUGAUAUUUUAAUAACUCUUUUUUAAUAAUUUUUUAACAAUUUUUAUUGAUCUGUUUGAAUUUAUUUUAAAAAAAUAUUUAAAACGGAUUAAUAACAAACUGUCACUUGUUAACUGUUCUAAAAAAGAGUUGUUAAGGAGACUUAUAGAUUUUUUUGAUGAUUUACUUUGGAUUAGUAGCAAUUAUUGGGGUUGCAUAGAAAGAUUUGGAUUGGAUUUAGUGAAAACUAACAUGUGCAACAGGAUGCAGUUGGUGGUCUAUAAAAGGGCACUACCACCUCAAGCAUACCCAAGCCAAUUUUCUUUGCAGAAACCAUUGAUUAAGAACAGUGUAGCUCUCAAACAAUGGGUCGUAGCAGUUUGUUUAUCCUUUUUCCUCUUCUGCUUCUGACAUUUUCAUCCAUCACAAGGGUUGCAGAAGCACGUCUCACCACAAAAAUACUCUUUCCACCGGAAGAUGACAUUCCUGAUGUGGAAGUUACACUCCCAAUUAAUAUCACACUCCCUGAGCUUGAGUUUCCUAAACUGCCAAUUCCCGACGUAAUUUUUGUUGAGGACGCCAAAAAAACCCCAUGAGUGCCUACACUUCCUCAAAUCUAUCAGUAAUAAUAUCUUCUUCAUUUGCUCCUACUCACUUCUGCAUCUUCAAUGUACUAUUUAUAAAUUUGUUGUUGUUGUUGCAGUAAUUCCAAGGUGGUUCUGUCGGCUGCUUUAUGUGUCCUUCAAUUACUUGUCAUGUUCAGUUUAUAUGUUGUUUCAGACAGUUUUACUGAAGCAUAAUAAUUAUUGUGAUUCGUGAUGUUGUAUCGGACUUCUUGUCUUCUACUUCAAUAAAUUACUGAAUUUCUUUUGUUUGGUAGAAAUCUUCCAUUUCUGAAUUCUCUGACUGUUGUGGAAGCACAAGUUCCUUUCAUUGUCACUUAAUUAAGCUAUUUUUAAGCUUCAUCUGUUUUCUCUUUUGGCACGAUUCGUUUAUCAUCUACAGACAUUAACCAAUUCUACUAAUUGUCAUUAUGGCUUCUAAUUCUCAAUAUUCUUUAUUACAAAUUUCAACUAAAAAGUAUAAUUUUGGUGGAUUCUCCGAACAUAUAUACACAUCAAAUAUUCUGUCCUUGUAAAAAGUAUAAUUUUUACCUUUCAACUACAAAUUAAUGUGAUGUUAUCCGAAGGACUAAUUUUGUUAUUAUUAGGAAAAUGAACACUCAGAUGGUGUUACAUCUAUUUCUAGAGCUUGAAAACUAACAUAUUAAGAUCUAACUAAAAGAUAUUACAUUUAAUGUAAGAUGAUGAAUUAUUGUUAUUCUUCUUGUUUGGAAGCAUGUUGGAUGAUGAUGUGAUUCAAUGACUUUCACAUUAUUAUUUUCAAUUUACAAUGAUUAAUAUUGAUGCUUCCCUCAACAUCAUUGAUGACAUUUUUUUUCUAAUCCAAUAUGUUUCAAUUAAAAUAAUAAAAGUUAUCCACCAUUUUAUAUUAAUUGCAAUAAUAUUUUUAUAUUAAAUACAAAGUCUAAAUAACUUUUUAAAAUGCAUAAAUAAAUAAUGAAAUAAAAUAAUACUCACCUACAAUUAAUAAAAAAAAUUAAACAUGAAAAUUAAUUAAGGAAAUAUAAAAAUGAUGAAUAUUCAAUGAACUCAAACUUUUUUUUAAUAAAGCUUCAAUUGAAAUUACUCAAAUUUUAUAUGUAGUUGAAAUUUAAUUAAACUUACAAAAUUUUAUAAGAGUAUUUUUUAUAUAUAGAUUUAAUCUUCUUUUUGUUUAAUUUUUUAGUAUUUUUAAAAUUUUGCUUUUAGGUUUAGAUUUUAAAAGUAAUAUACUUUUAGUUCGCUGUCUAUCUCUGAAAGGAAAUAAUGAAUAACCUUUAUAUAAUUUAUAAAGAUCAAAUAUGAAAUAAAUUAAAUAAAGAUUAAAAUUUAAAAAAAUUAAAAACAUAAUCGCUAUCAGUGUAGCAGAGAGAACAUGCUAUGCAUGUGAGUGAUGCAGCUCCCUUUGAGUUUACCAACAUUACUGGAAAACUUCCGUCUUAUGAGAAAAAACAAAAUUAAUGGUAGGGUAGAAAAAUGACCAUUCAAGACGGUUUAACGGUUAUGAAAGAAGAAACAAGAUUGCCAGGUGGCAUAUUUCCAUUUUUAAGUGUUGAAAAUUAAAAUUAGGGACCGAUAACUUUUAUUAUUUAUUCUUAUUUUUAAUUUAACGAAUAUGAAAAAAAUUAUCUCAUCCCACUUGUAAUUAAUACCUGGUAUAUUUGUACCGUGUACUUACCUAUAUUAUUAUUUUUUCAUAUAAAUUAAUUAAUUUUAAUAAAUAAUCACAAAAUAUAUUUAAUGUCAAAUAUUUAAAAACAAAUGAUAAUUAUAUAAUUUUAAAUUAAAAUACUAAAUAAAAGCAAAAUAAUUACAUAAUUUAUUAUACAAUUACGUAUAAAAAAAUUUGAUAAUAACCCAAACAUUUAUUAGUUUUAAAAAUAUUAAGGGUUAAAUAUGUUUUUCGUCCCUUAACUAUUGGCCGUUUUUGUGUUUAAUCCCUCUUUUAAAGUAUGGUACAACUUAGUCUUUCAACUUUAGAAAACUAUGGUUUUAGUCUUUUUUACCAAAUUUUUUUAACUUUAUUUGUUGUUCAAGCACGUUACAUUAUAGCAUUUGGAUUGUUUACACAUUUUGACACAUUUUUGCUUCAAUGUUAACUGAGAAACACGUUUGAAACAGCAAAUAAAGUUAAAAAAAUUUGGUAAAAAAGACUAAAACCAUAGUUUUCUAAAGUUGAAGGACUAAAUUGUACCAAAGAGGGACUAAACACAAAAACGGCCAAUAGUUGAGGGACGAAAAACAUAUUUAACCCAAAUAUUAAUAAAAUAAAGGUGAUAAAGUUAAAAUAUAUUUUUAAAAUUAUGAAGAAAAUAAAUAUUUAACUAUUUUUUUAUUUCUUUCUCUAAAUUAAACUGAAAUAUCUUUUUAAUUAAUAAGUUUGUUUUCACUAUUAUUUCUCUUUGCUUAAGUUCUUCAUUCUUUUUUUUUUUUUUACUUUGGGUUUAAGAUUAUUUAAACAUUUUGUUCCUUGACAACUUAUUUAAUGGAAAACCAAAGAAAUAAAAAAGUUGAGUAAGUGGUGUCCCAACGGUUCGUGUAAAUAGUACGUGUAUAACUAAGAUAAAUACAAGGGACAAACACAAACACUCGUUUAACAUUAAUUAUAUAUCAUAUUUUUAUUUUAAAAUAUAAAACCAUGAAGAAUCAACCAUAAAAUUAAAAAUAUUAUUUUUUUUAUCAGAUGUGUGUUAGAAAAACUUAAGGAUAUUUAUGUAAAAUUUUUCUAAAUAAAAUGAUACGACAUAAACUUGUGAAAUAAGUAAUUAAAUUAAUAUAAUCUGUAAUAUCUCAAGAAAAAAAUACAAAAAUACAAACAUAAUGCAUUCUGACUUCUAUUUCUACGUUAUUUUCAUUUUUUUUUUACUUCUAAUCAAAAUCGACACUAAAAAUAUUUACAAAUUAACAAACUCAAAACGUAACAACAUUUAUUUCCUAUUUUUUUGUCUGUAGAAUUUAAAGGAGAGAAUUGUGAUUAUAUUAUAUCUCAUGAAUGGUAUGAAUAACAUUUUACUUUAUAUCUCAUCUCCUUCGUUAUGCUUUAAUAAUAAGAAUAUAUUUUUCUUCCUUUCUUUUCUCUCAUGCUAUAUACACAUACUUACCUUUUAAUUAUCACAACAACUCAUUAUACUUAAAAAAAGGUUUCAGAAUAAAUAUAUUAUUUUUAUAAUAUUUUCAUUUUUCGUAUUAGAAAAAUUAACUGUUCCUAUAAACAAGGAAUUAGAAACACAGCAAGUUUUAAAAUUCAUUGCUCUGUAUUACCAAGUCACAUAGCAUAAUAUGGCCAUUCCUUGUGAGCUUUUUCUAAAACUUGUUUUUGGAAACUAAGACUAUAUAUAUAAUAUGUGUACAUAUGGAAGAAUAACUACAACUCUUAAAUAUUCUAUUUUUUAAAAUUUUAUGAUAAACGUGAAAAUUUUGUCUUUAAAAGAUAUAUUGGAAAAUUAAAAUAAGAAUGUCUAUUUAAAUUAUUUUUAACCUAAUUUUUAAAUGAUACAGAACUAUUCAGUAUAUCGGAAUAAAUCUCAAUUAAGAUUUAAAAAGGAAAAAAAAAAUCGUCUUUACAACCACUUUUUUAUUUUCUCGACUGAAGGUUAAGAAAGCCAAAGUUUAUCUUUGAAACUAUUGAAAUUCUUAUCAAUAAUUUUAUCCUUAAAAAAACCCUUAAAAAUAGAAAAAAAUAUUUAAAUUAAUAUUUACAUCGAUUUCUAAAAAAUAUAAGCCUAUUAAAAUUCUUAUCAACAAUUUUAUCCUUUAAAAAACUCUUAAAAAUAAAAAGAAAAAAUAUUUAAAUUAAUAUGGACAUCGUUUUUUAAAAAUCUAUCAAAACCGUUCUAAUUACGCGAAAUUUGAAGACACGCGAUAAAACUGCUUUCUGAUAUAUAUAUAUAUAUAUAUAUAUAUAUAUAUAUAUAUAUAUAUAUAUAUAUAUAUAUAUAUAUAUAUAUAUAUACGUAUCUCGGUUUAGCUAUGUUGUUUUGUUAAAAGAUACCUUUUUCUUUUCUUUUACUUGAUUGAUCUAAUACGGUCUUAAGAGUUAAAUAAGAGAAUGUAAUAUGAAUUUUUCGUUUUAUUUUGUGAGAAGAUGUAAGUUUAAAUCGAAACUUUGCAUCAGUAUUCAGUGCUGUAAAAAUGAAAAUAGUGGAAAAGGUUAUUUAAAAAAAUCACGAAAAUAAAGUCCUUUUACAUGGUGGUGAGAUAGACUUGGUCAAAGCCUAAAAAUGAUAGUGUGAUUCUGAAUGUCUAAAGCGUGAGUGUGGGAGAAGGCAUUGGAUGUAGGUGACGUUUGGCAGCUGAAAUGAACUGCGUUAGAUGACCCAACUCAAUUCAACUCAACACUCCUAUUCCCCCUUUUCAAACCCCUAAAUAUGUAUAAGUUGGUCAUCCUACGUUUGACAUGUUGGGAGCUAUAACUUAAUAUCACCCAACGACCUUAUCAGUCCAACAUAAUAAAAUUAUUUAUCUAUUCAAAUAAAGGAGGAAGGUGAACAAACAAAAACAUUUGUUAGGCUCUAUUUUCUUCUCCAAAUAAAGUUCAGCUGAAACCAUAGCAAGCCCUAUAUAUAUCCUUCAGCCUUUCAUACAAUCUCAAACAAAAUACAUACCAUUUUCGUACAUAGCAAUAUCUCUUCUUCAUUAUUGCACUCCUGUCAACUAUGGCCUCCAACAAAUCAUUCAUCACUGCUUUUCUUCUUGCUCUCACCUUCUCAGGCAUGAUGAGCAUGAGCAUAGCAGCUCGCCAUCUUAUGCAGACAACUGCACCAACAUUGCCAACAUUACCUUCAAUUCCAGCCCUUCCUCAGGGUAAUGUUCCACCACUGCCCACUAUCCCAUCUAUACCUACCACUUUGCCUCCACUUCCUACCAACAUCCCUAAUAUUCCAACAAUUCCACAGCUCAAAGUUCCUCCAUUGCCCUCAAUCCCAACAUUCACAAUUCCAACUACUAUGCCCUCCAUCCCAUUCCUCUCCCCACCACCUUCCACCUCCACCCCUUAAACUACCUUUCUUUUCUUCUUCCUGGCCAAGCUACCGUCUCAGUCUGAUUCGUAGCAGUGCCAAAUUGCAUGCUUCCUAUAGAUAUAGCCUGAUUCCUUUUGUGUGAGAGCCUUGUGUGGUGUUUUCCUUUUACUUUUGUCGUAUGGUGUGAAAAACUUAUGUGUGAGUUCUCGCUAUUGUUUCUACUUUUUCUUGUAUUAUAGAUUACAGAUUGCGAAUGAUUACAGCUAUACAACUUAUAAUGUCUUAUCCUUUAAUUUAAACUCUUCCAACAUCCUAAUUAGAUGUCUAACUAACUGCAUUUAUAUUAUUACUAAGUGUUUCAAUAGAGAAAA
rnacentral:lncRNA from 1 species